rnacentral:rRNA from 1 species
GACGAACGCUGGCGGCGUGCUUAACACAUGCAAGUCGAGCGGUAAGGCCCUUUCGGGGGUACACGAGCGGCGAACGGGUGAGUAACACGUGGGUGACCUGCCUUCAGCUCUGGGAUAAGCCUGGGAAACUGGGUCUAAUACCGGAUAUGACCUUCUGCCGCAUGGUGGGGGGUGGAAAGUCCUGGCUUCAUUGUCUGGGUUCGGCUGGGGAGUGGGCCCGCGGCCUAUCAGCUUGUUGGUGGGGNGAUGGCCUACCAAGGCGACGACGGGUAGCCGGCCUGAGAGGGCGGACCGGCCACACUGGGACUGAGACACGGCCCAGACUCCUACGGGAGGCAGCAGUGGGGAAGUAUUGCGCAAUGGGCGGAAGCCUGACGCAGCGACGCCGCGUGGGGAUGACGGCC